GAACGACUGCUAAGACUGGAUAGGAAGAUAAAAGGCAUCUUUUAUCUUUUAAAAGACCUAGUAAUAGGUAUGCUUUAGGAGGGGCUUGCGCCAUAUUAGUUAGUUGGUAGGGUAAUGGCCUACCAAGACGAUGAUGUGUAGCUGGACUGAGAGGUUGAACAGCCACAUUGGGACUGAGACACGGCCCAAACUCCUACGGGAGGCAGCAGUAGGGAAUUUUCGGCAAUGGAGGAAACUCUGACCGAGCAACGCCGCGUGAAUGACGAAGUACUUCGGUAUGUAAAGUUCUUUUAUCAAGGAAGAAAAGCAAAUGGCGAACCAUUUGUUUGCCGGUACUUGAUGAAUAAGCCCCGGCUAAUUAUGUGCCAGCAGCCGCGGUAAGACAUAAGGGGCAAGUGUUAUCCGGAAUUAUUGGGCGUAAAGGGUGCGUAGGCGGUCUAGUAAGUCAGUGGUGUAAUGGCAACGCUUAACGUUGUCCGGCUAUUGAAACUGCUAAACUUGAGUUAGAUAGAGGCGAGUGGAAUUCCAUGUGUAGCGGUAAAGUGCGUAAAUAUAUGGAGGAACACCAGAGGCGUAGGCGGCUCGCUGGGUCUUAACUGACGCUGAGGCACGAAAGCGUGGGGAGCAAACAGGAUUAGAUACCCUGGUAGUCCACGCCGUAAACGAUGAGUACUAAGUGCCGGGUUAAACCGGUACUGAAGUUAACACAUUAAGUACUCCGCCUGAGUAGUACGUACGCAAGUAUGAAACUUAAAGGAAUUGACGUGACUCCGCACAAGCGGUGGAUCAUGUUGUUUAAUUCGAAGAUACCCGAGAAACCUUACCAGGUCUUGACAUGUUUUUGCAAAAUGAUAGUAAUAUCGUGGAGGUUACCAGAAACACAGGUGGUGCAUGGUUGUCGUCAGCUCGUGUUGUGAGAUGUUAGGUUAAGUCCUAAAACGAGCGAAACCCUUAUCGUUAGUUGCCAGCACGUUAUGGUGGGGACUUUAACGAGACUGCCAAUGAUAAAUUGGAGGAAGGUGAGGAUCACGUCAAAUCAGCAUGCCCCUUAUGACCUGGGCUACAAACGUGAUACAAUGGGCUGUUACAAAGGGUAGCUGAAACGCAAGUUCUUGGCCAAUCCCCAAAAACAGUCCCAGUCCGGAUUGAAGUCUGCAACUCGACUUCAUGAAGUUGGAAUCGCUAGUAAUCGCGAAUCAGCAUGUCGCGGUGAAUACGUUCUCGGGGUUUGUACACACCGCCCGUCA
rnacentral:rRNA from 1 species